CGGACGGGUGAGUAACGCGUGGGUAACCUGCCUCACACUGGGGGAUAACAGUUAGAAAUAGCUGCUAAUACCGCAUAAGCGCACAGUUCCGCAUGGAACAGUGUGAAAAACUCCGGUGGUGUGAGAUGGACCCGCGUCUGAUUAGCCAGUUGGCGGGGUAACGGCCCACCAAAGCGACGAUCAGUAGCCGGCCUGAGAGGGUGAACGGCCACAUUGGGACUGAGACACGGCCCAGACUCCUACGGGAGGCAGCAUG
rnacentral:rRNA from 1 species